UUGGUAUGUGUUACGCAGCACUCUGGAACGCUUCGGUUAUCGUCGGACGCCGCCAUGUUUCGCUGUGGUUAGCAUAUGUCUUACAAUCUUGAUUUCAAACGAUUAGUUAAUUAUUCCCAACAUAUCUCUGAACUGUCCUUUCUGUGCUGGGUAGAGUUGCAAAAGGACCAAAAUCCCAUGACAAAUCUUUGAAAGAUUUUGAAUUCAAAUUGACGAGAAACUGACCGCUCUUAUAAAGUUUAAAUGCUUCUUGACUUCUCGUUGAAGAUUAACAAUGGAGAACGGCUAUAAGCAAGGCAGAGGUUCUGCAGUGACGAUUACUCCCGUUGGGUUUGGCUCCAAAAACUUUACGACGAAAAAGAAAUCCCGUAAACUGGUGCCCAUUCUUUUUAUGGUCAUAGUCCCUUUACUGAUUUGCUUCAUUCUCGUCAUGAUCUUCUUCUUCGCUGCAAAAAUCCCUCCACCAAAGCCAUACACAUCGCCAUGCCUCGCAUCAGAAGAAGCCAACCGCACUAACCUCACAAACGUGCUUAAAAAAAUUCAUCGACAGUAUUUCUUCGAACUUCAUCCCGAGAAGAUAUACCAGAUGGCACGAGUGAAACCUGAAGAUAUCCGAAUGUAUUUCCGGCCUUACGAUCCAACCCCGAAUGCUACCAAAAACCGGACUGACGUGGCUAUGGAGCUACGCCGGGAGUUAAAUGCGUUGAAAUUUAAUAAAACUCUGCUGAAGCUAAGAGAGCGCAAGGCGGUACAUGUGGCUAAUACCAUAUUAGAGAACAAUUUCGGAUGGUCUCCGUACUUUCAAGAUUACUACAACGGUGAUUGGCUGCUUGGACCCGACAUAUUCUGUUGGCAGCCUGUUUGUGACGUAUUUUAUCACCUAAAUCGGGUUUUUGAUCAUUUCAAGCCUCGAAACAUGACCGAACUUGAGAAGCUUAAGGAUCUGUUUGAGGGUUACAAUCGCACGUUCAAUCGGUACGUGGAGAACUGGAAGCUAGGAGCGCGAACAGGUUAUGUGAAAACCAACGAAGCUUGUAAAGCUGGUUUAUUCGUCAUCAAGUACCAAAAAUACCGUGCCUAUGCUCUGAAAAACGAGGCUGCAAUCUAUGAUGAGCCAUUUGCGAAGAUUCUAUUGAACACUAGCUAUUUCGAGCAUCUGUCAAAGAGAGUCAACGAUAGUUGGAAGGAGGUAUUCUUGAUGAACGUGACUGAAUACUUUAGGUGGUCUCUGGUGCACAACAUCGCAAAAGCUGUUGUGCAUAUGUUGAGGUUCCUUGAGCACGAGUACUUGAGGAACUGCCCUUCGGAUGAGAACAUCAUUAGCGGUCUAGGAAAAGUACCUCUCCGUUUUCUGUAUUACGAUGACAUCCCAGACACAAGUCAGUUAGCAUUCCAUCGACUCCCCACUGGAGAGGAGCUGAGUGGACCAAAGACGUAUCAAACACUGAUGAAAUACUUUGCAACUCUUGACAUUUCACCUGCUGAUCUAAGGGAGAGAGCUUGGACGAGGUUGAAUGAGUUGUAUAAGCAGGCUGUUGAUGUGGCCAAAAGGUAUACUGGUGAAAAGGACAAUAGGACAGCCAUCACCGCCUUCAAAGCCGUGUUACGCCAUUCCAACAUGUCGUUUAACAAUAAACCGUUUCCUGCCAAUGAGAGUGACGAAAAUGCCUACAUAAAAUGUUAUGACGACAAGAGCGCACAGGGGUAUUGUCCUGAGCGGUGGAAAGCAAUGCAGAAGUGGAUUGAAAACACUGUUGAAACGAUGAAAAACAAUAUUGGCCCAGUCUACAAACCACUAUUUUAUCGCAGUGGUCCUAAAAACACAGUUCCUGUCUGUCCAGUGGAUGUUAUAUCUUGGUUUCAUCCGCAUGUCCGCUUUCACGGAUAUGCGCCAGGCUCUAAAGACUGCAAGGUUAACGCUACGCAAGGUUUGCCGUUUUUCGCGGACAAUUUUGGCCCAAAAUGGACAGAAUUUACGACCACAGCCCAUGAACAACUCCCUGGACACCAUUUAGAGGUGCAUAGUUACAUAGAGUAUUUUGAAGACAGCUGCAACGAUCCGAUUCACUGGCUGGAGAAAGCAAAUUUUUUCCCAGGGUUCACUGAGGGCUGGACAACCUACGUGGAGUAUCAACUGCUGCCACAAGACACGAACCUCUACUCAGACAAUCAAGACAAAGAAAUAUUGCUGCAAAGAUACGGCAUGAUUUACUAUCAGCUGUUAGCCGCUCUUCGUGCCAUCGUGGAUAUUGAUCUGAAUUUUAAUCAAACGCCAGAGAUAACCGUGCUAGAUAUGUAUAAUGAAUACGUGUGGGAAGACAAUACUGACCUGGCAAAGAAAGACGUCCUGCGCUCGCAAAGCGUACCGGGAUAUGUCACAAGCUACAUGAUUGGCCAAAUGGAAAUUUCCCGCGUCAGAGGCAUUGCCGAGAGGGAACUGGGGCGAAAUUUUAAUUUAGAGGAGUUCCAUUACGAGCUGCUUCGACAGGGGGAGUUCCCCCUGAGGUAUCUCGAAGAACACAUACGUGAUUAUAUCGCAUGCAAAAAGGACCCUACAAUAGAGGGAUGUAAAGAGUUUUGAGGCGUAAAUUUAAUAGUUUUUGAAAGUCGAUUGUGCGAAAGCAAUAUGCAUUCUUUGCUGGACUGUGCGAUUACGAAAUACAGAAUCGCUACAAAUCACCAAAAAGGUUGGGAGUGACGCUACACGAAAUUUCUCAGUGCCUAAUUAUCUUUAUCACCACAUACAGCAAAACUCCAUGUGUUUUCACCACCUAUGACUUAGCCCCCACUGUAUUUCAUUUGCUCUUCCCUACUUAUAACACUAUAAGAAACAAUUUGAUCGUGUCUCCAAAAUCUCUAGCUCGCAUUGUGCAUAACAGAUUUCAACAUGUUUCCGCAAUUUUAAUGACAUGAUGCGCCAUGUUCCUUUCUCCUUCUUUAACCUUUUUAUUCCCUAAACUGACCAACAUCUAAUUUCUCCUGAGAAUCACAGCUGAAUCAAACAUUAGGGACAUGAGAAUAAAGGGAAUUAUCACAGAUCUAGAUUGUUUUGCAAAUUCUCUUUGUCAGUGCUAUAGCAAAUGUAUAGAGAACGGUAUGGAGAAUAUGCACACUGAUGCUAGGAUGUGAAGGGUUAAUCUUAAGAGUUGAUCGGUUUCUACGUUCUUUCCAUCUGCAACAUAACGCACCUUGAAAACACCAUUUGUAAAACUCAUGGCAACAAUUUCACCUGUUUCCAACUAUCAGUAACAUGUCUCGCGAAAACAUUGACACAUUGGCACAACAAUUUCAGCUAUUUCCAACAGUCACAGAACAAUUCAUGUGUUCCGACCUCUAAAAGAACUGCAACUAUUUUGGUCAAUCCACUAUCUAUAAUUCGAUAACUUAAUGGAAGUUUUCGUAUAUAGCUUUUUUUAAAAUUUUUGACGGGAUAUCAUAGUUUCAAAGAGAGCCAUUUAAUCACUACAAUGAUUAAUAAAAUUGUAUUUCACGUCGAUA
rnacentral:misc_RNA from 1 species